UGCCAGCAGCCGCGGUAAUACUGAAGGUGCAAGCGUUAAUCGGAAUUACUGGGCGUAAAGCGCGCGUAGGCGGUUAUUUAAGUCAGAUGUGAAAGCCCCGGGCUCAACCUGGGAACUGCAUUUGAUACUGGGUAACUAGAGUAUGUUAGAGGAAAGUGGAAUUCAGGGUGUAGCGGUGAAAUGCGUAGAUAUCCUGAGGAACACCAAUGGCGAAGGCAACUUUCUGGGACAAUACUGACGCUGAGGUGCGAAAGCGUGGGGAGCAAACGGGAUUAGAUA
rnacentral:rRNA from 1 species